UAUGAUUCGGUUAGACGGUACGAACGGAAGCCAUGUUUGUUGUUCUUCCUUCACCCUCUUUGUAGUUCGGGACGUUCAGGAUUUCCUUCUGUAUGUCUUUAACAGUAUCACAAUUUACAUCUUCUCUACCACCCCCCGAAUGCAGGGCGUAAUCGAUUACAUCUUCUUCUCCAAGACUCACAUGUCUGUAGCCGGGUUGCUCGGUCCCCUGGAGUCUCGGUGGUUAACGGACAACAACAUCACCGGCUGUCCCCACCCCCACAUCCCCUCUGACCACUUCCCUCUGCUCGCCCAGCUGGAUCUCCACCCGCCCCUCACCACCUCCACCUCCUCCUCCUCCUCCCUCAACGGCCUGCACCUGCCUGUCCACAGGUAGUGGUUGUCACGACCACUCACCCUCUGACCCCUUUGAACACCUAAUGCCCCGCCUCCUCUGCCCCCCCAAAAAAAAGGACUUUGUACAUUUUCUUAUCGUGUCCCUAAUCUCAGACCAUCCAAGGAACUCCGACACAGACAACCCAUUCCCCAAAGGAGUGAAGUAUUCUCCCCGUACUGCUCCUUUUUUUUACCUCCAUUUUGCACACAGAUUGUAUUUCUGUUAGUUUUGCUUGUUGUUUUUCUGUCCAUUUGAACGGCUUGAUACCAAAUCAUGUUUUGUGUUGUUUUCUGGUCAUAUGCUACUGCUGCUGCCCAUCUCCUUGGAAAGUCCAAGUGUCCGUCAGAAAUAGCACCCUAUUCCCUAUAUAGUGCACUACUUUUGACCAGGACCCAAUGCGAUAUAGGAAAUAGGUUUCCAUUUUGGAGGAAGCCCCAAGUUCAGGUCAUCCUGGUCUGGUGUCUGACCACCUGAUGUGUUUUUGCCUUGACCCGGUCUGGGUGGGCACGGUCUGGGUGGGCACGGUCUGGGUGGGCCCUGUCUGGGUGGGCCCGGUCUGGGUGGGCCCUGUCUGGUUGGGCCCUGUCUGGUUGGGCCCUGUCUGGUUGGGCCCUGUCUGGUUGGACCCUGUCUGGGUGGGCACGGUCUGGGUGGGCCCUGUCUGGGUGGGCACGGUCUGGGUGGGCCCUGUCUGGGUGGGCACGGUCUGGGUGGGCCCUGUCUGGGUGGGCCCUGUCUGGGUGGGCGCGGUCUGGUUGGACCCUGUCUGGGUGGGCACGGUCUGGGUGGGCCCUGUCUGGGUGGCCUGGCUGAGAGUUAGAAAAGCUUUUUGCCAUAAUCUAAUAACAGUACGAUGACAGCCGCCGUCUGGGUUUCUCUCUGGUUGAGAAAUCCACUCCUCAAGACACGUUAUGACAUCCAGAGUUCUACUGAAUUGCGUUUGAUGAUCAUGUUAAAGUUGCCAUCGUUUCAUCAUACACCCAAACAGGACUUCUUCUUCCUUCUCCAAAAUGACGGUGGUGAUUGGGACUUUUCACUACUGCUCUAUUUUGGAGUUAAGUACGGUAAGACAAGGUUUUUUAAAUAUUUUUUUAUUUUUAGCAAAAUGUGAAAUGUUGUCAUCUCUUAACAUGUGUCUAUGGAAGCCUAUAAGGGUCAAUCAGUGAACAGGAUCCCAGCAUUACUAUUGUAUCUCAAACACAGCUUCAGUAUUAACAUAAUUUGCUCUCAGCUUCUCAUUCUGCUAUGUACGUUGACACUAUGCAUUGAUUUUUCCCUCGUCUGUUUGAGUGGUGUGUGUGUGUGUGCUCCUGACCCAAUGAAAAUGAUCUGAUAUAAAAAAUAAAUAAUAAUAAAAAUAAUUGAUUGCACCUUAUUGAGGUAGGAACCAGCUACCUCUUCUGUUCAUCAGUUAGCCCCUUAUUGAGGUAGGAUCCAGGCCUACCUCUUCUGUUCAUCAGUUAGCCCCUUACUGAGGUAGGAUCCAGGGCUACCUCUUCUGUUCAUCAGUUAGCCCCUUAUUGAGGUAGGAACCAGGGCUACCUCUUCCGUUCAUCAGUUAGCCCCUUAUUGAGGUAGGAUACAUGACUACCUCUUCUGUUCAUCAGUUAGCCCCUUAUUGAGGUAGGAACCAGGGCUACCUCUUCUGUUCAUCAGUUAGCCCCUUAUUGAGGUAGGAACCAGGCCUACCUCUUCCGUUCAUCAGUUAGCCCCUUAUUGAGGUAGGAUACAUGACUACCUCUUCCGUUCAUCAGUUAGCCCCUUAUUGAGGUAGGAUCCAGGGCUACCUCUUCUGUUCAUCAGUUAGCCCCUUAUUGAGGUAGGAUUCAUGACUACCUCUUCUGUUCAUCAGUUAGCCCCUUAUUGAGGUAGGAUACAUGACUACCUCUUCUGUUCAUCAGUUAGCCCCUUAUUGAGGUAGGAUACAUGACUACCUCUUCUGUUCAUCAGUUAGCCCCUUAUUGAGGUAGGAUACAUGACUACCUCUUCCGUUCAUCAGUUAGCCCCUUAUUGAGGUAGGAUACAUGACUACCUCUUCUGUUCAUCAGUUAGCCCCUUAUUGAGGUAGGAUACAUGACUACCUCUUCUGUUCAUCAGUUAGCCCCUUACUGAGGUAGGAUACAUGACUACCUCUUCUGUUCAUCAGUUAGCCCCUUACUGAGGUAGGAUACAUGACUACCUCUUCUGUUCAUCAGUUAGCCCCUUAUUGAGGUAGGAUACAUGACUACCUCUUCCGUUCAUCAGUUAGCCCCUUAUUGAGGUAGGAUCCAGGGCUACCUCUUCUGUUCAUCAGUUAGCCCCUUAUUGAGGUAGGAUUCAUGACUACCUCUUCUGUUCAUCAGUUAGCCCCUUAUUGAGGUAGGAUACAUGACUACCUCUUCUGUUCAUCAGUUAGCCCCUUAUUGAGGUAGGAUACAUGACUACCUCUUCUGUUCAUCAGUUAGCCCCUUAUUGAGGUAGGAUACAUGACUACCUCUUCCGUUCAUCAGUUAGCCCCUUAUUGAGGUAGGAUACAUGACUACCUCUUCUGUUCAUCAGUUAGCCCCUUAUUGAGGUAGGAUACAUGACUACCUCUUCUGUUCAUCAGUUAGCCCCUUAUUGAGGUAGGAUACAUGACUACCUCUUCUGUUCAUCAGUUAGCCCCUUACUGAGGUAGGAUACAUGACUACCUCUUCUGUUCAUCAGUUAGCCCCUUACUGAGGUAGGAUACAUGACUACCUCUUCUGUUCAUCAGUUAGCCCCUUAUUGAGGUAGGAUACAUGACUACCUCUUCCGUUCAUCAGUUAGCCCCUUAUUGAGGUAGGAUCCAGGGCUACCUCUUCUGUUCAUCAGUUAGCCCCUUAUUGAGAUAGGAUCCAGGGCUACCUCUUCUGUUCAUCAGUUAGCCCCUUAUUGAGGUAGGAACCAGGGCUACCUCUUCUGUUCAUCAGUUAGCCCCUUAUUGAGGUAGGAUCCAGGGCUACCUCUUCUGUUCAUCAGUGUUAGCCCCUUACUGAGGUAGGAUACAUGACUACCUCUUCCGUUCAUCAGUUAGCCCCUUAUUGAGGUAGGAUACAUGACUACCUCUUCCGUUCAUCAGUUAGCCCCUUAUUGAGGUAGGAUACAUGACUACCUCUUCUGUUCAUCAGUUAGCCCCUUAUUGAGGUAGGAUCCAGGCCUACCUCUUCCGUUCAUCAGUUAGCCCCUUAUUGAGGUAGGAACCAGGGCUACCUCUUCUGUUCAUCAGUUAGCCCCUUAUUGAGGUAGGAUCCAGGGCUACCUCUUCUGUUCAUCAGUUAGCCCCUUAUUGAGGUAGGAUCCAGGGCUACCUCUUCUGUUCAUCAGUUAGCCCCUUAUUGAGGUAGGAUCCAGGCCUACCUCUUCCGUUCAUCAGUUAGCCCCUUAUUGAGGUAGGAACCAGGGCUACCUCUUCUGUUCAUCAGUUAGCCCCUUAUUGAGGUAGGAUCCAGGGCUACCUCUUCUGUUCAUCAGUGUUAGCCCCUUACUGAGGUAGGAUACAUGACUACCUCUUCCGUUCAUCAGUUAGCCCCUUAUUGAGGUAGGAUACAUGACUACCUCUUCCGUUCAUCAGUUAGCCCCUUAUUGAGGUAGGAUACAUGACUACCUCUUCCGUUCAUCAGUUAGCCCCUUAUUGAGGUAGGAUACAUGACUACCUCUUCUGUUCAUCAGUUAGCCCCUUAUUGAGGUAGGAUACAUGACUACCUCUUCUGUUCAUCAGUUAGCCCCUUAUUGAGGUCGGAUCCAGGGCUACCUCUUCUGUUCAUCAGUUAGCCCCUUAUUUAGGUAGGAUCCAGGGCUACCUCUUCUGUUCAUCAGUUAGCCCCUUAUUUAGGUAGGAU